rnacentral:rRNA from 1 species
AACGAACGUUAGCGGUGUGGAUUAGGCAUGCAAGUCGAGCGCGAAAGUCCGCAAGGAUGAGUAAAGCGGCGAAAGGGUGAGUAACACGUAACCAAUCUACCCACGAGACCGGAAUAACCGGCGGAAACGCUGGCUAAUGCCGGAUGGUCCUGUCGGGAGGCAUCUCCUGACACGUAAACGGUGGCGCAAGCUGCUGCUCGAGGAGGAGGUUGCGGGCUAUCAGCUAGUGGUGGGGUAACGGCCUACCAAGGCGAUGACGGCUAGCUGGUCUGAGAGGACGACCAGCCACACUGGGACUGAGACACUGCCCAGACUCCUACGGGAGGCUGCAGUCGAGGAUCUUCCGCAAUGGGCGAAAGCCUGACGGAGCGACACCGCGUACAGGAUGAAGGCCU